rnacentral:piRNA from 1 species
UGUAAAGCCAUGGCAUGUAAUCCUUC